ensembl:lncRNA
GUAAGUUCCGUUAUGUCCAAUUGGGUUAAAUCCUUAUAUAGCUUACUAAAAGUACAUCGGUGUCACAGUGUGUCAGAUUGUAUUCCCCGAGAUGUUUAGACGGAGAUAUCAGACGAGCGUGGAGCGGCAGUGCAUCAAAGAGUAUGCCAUGUAACGAGCUCGUGACACGGCGGGACACACCAUGCGCGCAGCACAACCAGGCUAGGUUCGAAAGUCAGUGAAUUUUUUUUUUUUAUUGAGUGUACCAUCGCCAAAACCCACCGCAUAUACCAAAAUAGCCAACGGAAGACACCAUGACUGCCCAGUUUGGGUAUGGCGGUAUCCUCAGGCUGUUCUAUGGAUCAACUCUGUGAAGAAGACCGCCACUAUUUUUGAAGGAGUAGGGAUGUUGUUUUUGGGUUCUCUUCAAAAGGAACCAUAAAGAUACCAGAAGAAAUGUGGGUUCUCAUUAAAAUAACUUGCCGGAAGUAAGUUAGACCUGGAGAUAUCUCUGCUUUCCAACGCCCAGUGCUUCCAGUGGACAUGUUUGAGAGGAGGAAAUCCGUCAGCCAGUGAAGAUGAACCCUUACGUUACGUCUCACUUCCGGAGGGAUCUUUUCCCCCACUUCCACUUGUUGUAGUCGUUGGGUUCGGCCCUUCUGUCACUUCUUUAAGCACAUGGGUUUCCAUAUUGUUUGGCUGAGUCGUGAAUCAGGGCCCCUGACAUUCAGACCCUGACAGACUUGUUCCAAGUGUUUUGAAGGUAAAGACUUGUGACGAGCAGCACCUUUCUCCAAUGCUCGAUGCCUCAAAAUUAUUUAAUCUCUUCACCCAACGUCCUACGAUGUGUUUUUCCCUUCUCUGUCUUUUCCCUUUUUAAUGCAUCCUAGAACUUUGCAUGCCUGAUCCAUCUAUAGAGAAUGUACUUUAUGCUUAGUGUCUUUUGAAAGUUCUUCAUUCAUAACCAGAAGCUAUCGUCUCCAGCUUCAUUUCCUACAGUCUUGGUCUCAUCCCAUCUCUCGGUCUGAUCUUGUUCACGUGAGUUCAAAUGUGUGUGUUCUCCAGCCAACAAGCUAAUCAUUGUUUGGAUUAAUGCAGUAUGCUCUCUGCUAUGCUGGACUAGACCAGAUCCUGUGAAUCUGCAAGUUUCACAACCUGAUGAUCGGCGACCCUAAGACAGGAUGUCUAGCUAUAAUGAAGGAACACUCUGAUAUCACAAAGAACUGUGAUAUAACAGGUGCAGCACUGUCCGCAGUAAACUAAGACCAGGACAAUAAGAUUUGGAUUUUGGACCUUGGAUCGUAAGAAUCAGCAUGUUAAUUAGCUUGUUCUACAAUGCAUGGUAGAGGCAUCGGAAUAUAAUUCUGUUUGAGUAAAGCCUACCUUGAAUAUGUUCUAUGUCAAACAGUACCUGCUUGUUCAUUGUCCUGUGUUUGCAUGAUGUAGUAAGUGUCGUACAUAGUGCCUUACGAUGUGAACCCUUCACAUGUCUCCAUCUUUAAAUGUAUGUCCAUUAUAUAUCUCUCCACUCGGCCUGCUACCUUUCCACCCUCUAGCCUGUAGGGUAUCACAUUGGACCUUGCCAUGUCUUGCAUGCUUCUCUCGGACGUAUAUUGACUUCAGUCAAGUCCAUCU